UACGGGGGGGGCAAGCGUUGUUCGGAAUUACUGAGCGUAAAGGGCUCGUAGGCGGCCAACUAAGUCGGACGUGAAAUCCCUCGGCUUAACCGGGGAACUGCGUCCGAUACUGGCGGGCUUGAGUUCGGGAGAGGGAUGCGGAAUUCCAGGUGUAGCGGUGAAAUGCGCAGAUAUCGGGAGGAACACCGGUGGCGAAGGCGGUUCUCUGGGCCUUACCUGACGCUGAGGAGCGAAAGCGUGGGGAGCGAACAGG
rnacentral:rRNA from 1 species